CUGCAUUCAGGUCGGGGACAACCACUGGAAACGGUGGCUAAUACCGGAUGUGCCGAGAGGUAAAAGGCUUGCUGCCUGAAGAUGAGCUCGCGACUGAUUAGCUAGUUGGUAGUGUAAGGGACUACCAAGGCGACGAUCAGUAGCUGGUCUGAGAGGAUGAUCAGCCACACUGGGACUGAGACACGGCCCAGACUCCUACGGGAGGCAGCAGUGGGGAAUUUUCCGCAAUGGGCGAAAGCCUGACGGAGCAAUACCGCGUGAGGGAGGAAGGCUCUUGGGUUGUAAACCUCUUUUCUCAAGGAAUAAGUUUUGAAGGUACUUGAGGAAUAAGCAUCGGCUAACUCCGUGCCAGCAGCCGCGGUAAUACGGAGGAUGCAAGCGUUAUCCGGAAUGAUUGGGCGUAAAGAGUCCGUAGGUGGUUGUGAAAGUCUGCUGUUAAAGAGCAAGGCUCAACCUUGUAAAGGCAGUGGAAACUACACAGCUAGAGUGCGUUCGGGGCAGAAGGAAUUCCUGGUGUAGCGGUGAAAUGCGUAGAGAUCAGGAAGAACACCGGUGGCGAAAGCGUUCUGCUAGGCCGCAACUGACACUGAGGGACGAAGCAUAGU
rnacentral:rRNA from 1 species